GACGAACGCUGGCGGCGUGCUUAACACAUGCAAGUCGAACGGAAAGGCCCUGCUUUUGUGGGGUGCUCGAGUGGCGAACGGGUGAGUAACACGUGAGUAACCUGCCCUUGACUUUGGGAUAACUUCAGGAAACUGGGGCUAAUACCGGAUAGGAGCUCCUGCUGCAUGGUGGGGGUUGGAAAGUUUCGGCGGUUGGGGAUGGACUCGCGGGUUAUCAGCUUGUUGGUGGGGUAGUGGCUUACCAAGGCUUUGACGGGUAGCCGGCCUGAGAGGGUGACCGGCCACAUUGGGACUGAGAUACGGACCAGACUCCUACGGGAGGCAGCAGUGGGGAAUAUUGCACAAUGGGCGGAAGCCUGAUGCAGCAACGCUGCGUGCGGGAUGACGGCCUUCGGGUUGUAAACCGCUUUCGCCUGUGACGAAGCGUGAGUGACGGUAAUGGGUAAAGAAGCACCGGCUAACUACGUG
rnacentral:rRNA from 1 species